rnacentral:rRNA from 1 species
UACGUAGGGUGCAAGCGUUGUCCGGAAUUAUUGGGCGUAAAGAGCUUGUAGGCGGUUUGUCGCGUCUGCUGUGAAAUUUCGGGGCUCAACCCCGAACUUGCAGUGAGUACGGGCAGACUAGAGUGUGGUAGGGGAGACUGGAAUUCCUGGUGUAGCGGUGAAAUGCGCAGAUAUCAGGAGGAACACCGAUGGCGAAGGCAGGUCUCUGGGCCACUACUGACGCUGAGAAGCGAAAGCAUGGGGAGCGAACAGG